AAUUGCUGAACAAACAGCGUACCAAAAUGCCUACGUUAUGCACUGUGGAACGCUCUGCGGAUGGACAGCUGUGGAAUCCACAAAGGUCAAAGAGGCUUUUGUUACGAGGGCUGGAGGUUCCAAAACAUCCAUGAAGCUGGGGAUAAAAGACGCAGAUUGACCAGCCCACGCUUUCAUCCACCAUUGUAC